CUGGGCAUGUAUGGUAUCUGUAUCUAUGUCAAGACCUGGGCUUUGCUCCACUUGGAGUCAGCUGAUUGGCAGGAGGGCAUCUGAAAUUGAGAGGAGGUUUCAGGCCGUUUACCCAGCCCUUUAGUGGGGAUCUGUCCGGGACUCUGCAGUCUGAACCUGCAACUGUAAAAGCUGUGUGGUGUGAUUUGCACAAGUGUUCCUUUAGGACCAU
rnacentral:lncRNA from 1 species